CACAUGCAAGUCGAACGGUGAAGCCCCGCUUGCGGGGUGGAUCAGUGGCGAACGGGUGAGUAACACGUGAGCAACCUGCCCCUGACUCUGGGAUAAGCGCUGGAAACGGCGUCUAAUACUGGAUACGAGACGUGAUCGCAUGGUCAACGUUUGGAAAGAUUUUUCGGUUGGGGAUGGGCUCGCGGCCUAUCAGCUUGUUGGUGAGGUAAUGGCUCACCAAGGCGUCGACGGGUAGCCGGCCUGAGAGGGUGACCGGCCACACUGGGACUGAGACACGGCCCAGACUCCUACGGGAGGCAGCAGUGGGGAAUAUUGCACAAUGGGCGCAAGCCUGAUGCAGCAACGCCGCGUGAGGGAUGACGGCCUUCGGGUUGUAAACCUCUUUUAGCAGGGAAGAAGCGAGAGUGACGGUACCUGCAGAAAAAGCACCGGCUAACUACGUGCCAGCAGCCGCGGUAAUACGUAGGGUGCAAGCGUUAUCCGGAAUUAUUGGGCGUAAAGAGCUCGUAGGCGGUUUGUCGCGUCUGCUGUGAAAUCUGGGGGCUCAACCCCCAGCCUGCAGUGGGUACGGGCAGACUAGAGUGCGGUAGGGGAGAUUGGAAUUCCUGGUGUAGCGGUGGAAUGCGCAGAUAUCAGGAGGAACACCGAUGGCGAAGGCAGAUCUCUGGGCCGUAACUGACGCUGAGGAGCGAAAGGGUGGGGAGCAAACAGGCUUAGAUACCCUGGUAGUCCACCCCGUAAACGUUGGGAACUAGUUGUGGGGUCCAUUCCACGGAUUCCGUGACGCAGCUAACGCAUUAAGUUCCCCGCCUGGGGAGUACGGCCGCAAGGCUAAAACUCAAAGGAAUUGACGGGGACCCGCACAAGCGGCGGAGCAUGCGGAUUAAUUCGAUGCAACGCGAAGAACCUUACCAAGGCUUGACAUAUACGAGAACGGGCCAGAAAUGGUCAACUCUUUGGACACUCGUAAACAGGUGGUGCAU
rnacentral:rRNA from 1 species